rnacentral:lncRNA from 1 species
UCAGACUUCUCCUUGUUUAAGCAGUUGUUCUCAUUUUUGUUAUUCUAGGGUCCCUGGACACUGGGUUCCAGCUGCUUACUCGGAGAAGACUUUGUAUGGAGUCUGGCAAAUCUUUCCAGCUGAGCAGGGAGGAAAAUAUUUCAGCACAGACAUUUGUGACCCUUCAUGAAGCUCCAGAGUUGGAAGCCAGACCGGGACCUAUAGUCCUUGCUCCCACACAUCAGGCCCAGGGCCCGGGUUGGCAGCCCCUGCUGACUUUUUCCUGCUGUUUGGAAAAACACCCCUCCGGUCACCACCUUCCAACUCACAUUGGAUUCAUUUGA